rnacentral:rRNA from 1 species
UCAGGAUGAACGCUGGCGGCGUGCCUAACACAUGCAAGUCGAACGAAGCACUGCGGAUAGAGACUUCGGUCAAUUGAAGCUUGACUUAGUGGCGGACGGGUGAGUAACACGUGAGCAACCUGCCUUCAGUGGGGGACGAACAGCUGGAAACGGCUGCUAAUACCGCAUAACGUAUACGGGAGGCAUCUCUUGUAUACCAAAGAUUUAUUGCUGAAGGAUGGGCUCGCGUCUGAUUAGAUAGUUGGUGAGGUAACGGCUCACCAAGUCGACGAUCAGUAGCCGGACUGAGAGGUUGAACGGCCACAUUGGGACUGAGAUACGGCCCAGACUCCUACGGGAGGCAGCAGUGGGGAAUAUUGGGCAAUGGGGGGAAAAACCCCCUGACCCAGCAAUGCCGCGUGGAGGAAGAAGGUCUUCGGAUUGUAAACUCCUUUGACGAGGGACGAUAAUGACGGUACCUCGAAAACAAGCCACGGCUAACUACGUGCCAGCCGCGGC